CAGCCUGUUAACUGUGGCUCGUUAGCAUGAGACACAUUACACGAACAUGGUAAGCAGUAAAAUGACCGAGGCAUGUGCGCCAACAGUUUAAAGGCAGAAUAGCAUUUUUUUUCCUUGUCCUUUUGUUUUCUGGUCAGCAGAACAAGACUUUGGAAAAAGAAAUGGUGUGACAACUCCAGCAAAUGAUACAGAAGCUUUGGCAUAGCUUGUCGGUCUGGUGUUUAAUUGAUCAUCACUUCAUCAGUGUUCAGUUCAUCCAGCAGCAUGGUGGUCCACACUUUGCUACGAAAAGAACUAUUGAACUAACUUGAAUUUUUGUUUAGUUAUAUGCUCAUUUCUUUUGGGGCUGUAUGGUUCGGCUAAAAAAAUGGUGAUAAUCCUGUUACUUGUACCUACGUUUUAAUUGCACGGAUGCUACGCCAGCAUCCUACUGUUCAAAAUACUAUGCCGGGCGCAACGAUGCUUACUUACUGAAAGCAUGUUGCUUAAAAGAUGAACAUGUUUUCUUUUUGUCCUUCCAGGUUUUGCGGUGUCAUUUCCCCAGGAUUUCUUCUUCUUCUUUUGCUCCAUCUUGGCGUGACGUAUUAUUCUUAGAAAGCUGAUAGGUAGAAGGCAAGAAUAAAGAAGUUAAUUGAGGGAGAAGCAACGAAGGGAAGAAGUACAUGUCCAGUUCACAAGAUUUGCCAUGCUUGUCCAAUUGUAGCAAAAGGCCGGAAUGAGUGCUCGGGUGAAACUUGCUUUGAGACCAUGGCAUUUCUCCCAUAAGCAGCAACAGUGUAUCUUCUUUUGCUCAAGUGAGGGCUUUUCUCAUUUACCGCCUUCUCUUUAUGCUCUUUCAUCAGCUGUACUCUGUUGCGGUUGGCAACCCUCGCAAGCUAGCAGCCUAGCAGGUGGGCGAUCUGAUGUUGAUCUUGCAGGACUCAGGCUAGUUUCCUGUUCCCCCUUUUUAUCUUUACCACCGAUCGAUCGUUUUCUCUCUUUGCAUCGAUCACACUCUACUCUUCAGCUAAGAUGCUUUCUCUCCGUGUCGAAAGGAAAAAUGAUUCUUGUAGGAGGAGUUCUCUCUGAACAAGAAAAGAAGAGAAGAUCCUUGAGAAAAGAUUAACCCGGUGAGGACGAAAACAUCUUUGCAGGACAGUGUAGCGCUGGCAGUGGCAGUGCUCGACAGCCGUUGCAAGCCUGCAGUCGGUCUCUUCCAGGGCGUACAGUCUAAAGCAGAGGCAGGCGCAUGCAGCCGGACGCUGUUUGUAACGUGAGACGCACAGGCUCCCCGGAGUCUUGUCUGAUAAUGCAUCGGAUUCCGCGGUUCUCCCGCCAAGAAAACAAACAGUGAUAGACUGAUGAUCGUGUCGUGAAGACACAUGCGUUGCUCCGAGGUUGUCUGAAAUCACACGUUACAUCUUAAGGCGCUCGAUGGCAUCUGCAGCUGCAGCUGUUGACAUGGCUGCAUCGUCUGGCUGGGAGCUUGCGUUGAUCACAGCAUGGAGUAGCAGCUGCAGCAUCCAACCGACACAGACGUAUCGAGGAGGCAGCAGCAGUUUGGAGCUCUAAGAGCAUCUCUGGAUCCCGCAAAUCGGUGUCCUGCAAAACCGUUUUAAGGUCUCCCUGAAAACGGUACCGCGAGGGCUCCGACCACUAGUUUAUGGGAUCUGUUCCGAUGGACUCCUUGUGGUACCACAAAACCGUUUUCGGGAUUUUAGGCAAAUUCAUGAUUUUGAA